CUCCACCCACCCUCAUCGUAUCUGAAAUUUUGAAGACAACAUACAUUAGGAUCAAGAGACUAUUGUUGUACCUGUUACUGAUGAUCAAGUCAAAGACACUGCUCUUAUGCGUAGUAUGUCAAAGGAAGAACCUUCAAU